AUACAGAGGGUGCGAGCGUUAAUCGGAAUUACUGGGCGUAAAGCGCGCGUAGGCGGCUGAUUAAGUCAGAUGUGAAAUCCCAGGGCUCAACCUUGGAACUGCAUCUGAUACUGGUCAGCUAGAGUUGAGGAGAGGGAAGUAGAAUUUCAGGUGUAGCGGUGAAAUGCAUAGAUAUCUGAAGGAAUACCAGUGGCGAAGGCGGCUUCCUGGCCUAAAACUGACGCUGAGGUGCGAAAGCGUGGGUAGCAAACAGGAUUAGAUACCCCAGUAGUCC
rnacentral:rRNA from 1 species